rnacentral:rRNA from 1 species
GAACGCUGGCGGCAGGCCUUACACAUGCAAGUCGAGCGGAUGAAGGGAGCUUGCUCCCUGAUUUAGCGGCGGACGGGUGAAUAAUGCCUAGGAAUCCGCCUGGUAGUGGGGGAUAACGUUCCGUUCGAACGGAACGCUAUACCGCAUACGUCCUAUGGGAUAAAGCUGGGGGACCUUCGGCCUUGCCCCUAUCUAAUGAGCCUAGGUCCGGGUAUCUACUUAUUUAGGUGAAGGUUACCU